CCUCACAAGGAGGAAAAUAGAAAGAAGAAGAGUUUAGAAGCUACUGGACAAGCUGUGGGAGAAAAAGAGGGAUCAAAUGGGCCUUCUGGACAAGCUGUGGGACGACACGGUGGCCGGCCCCCGGCCGGAGUCCGGCCUCGGCAAGCUCCGCAAAUUCUCCUCCUUCUCGCCUUCUUCCUCCUCCUCCUCCAUGGCCGCGCCGCCGGCGAUUGACGUCACGGUCACCCGCAGCAUCACCAUCGCAAGAUCGCCGCGCAGCAGCAUCUCUGCCGAUUCCGGCUCUCUCCCUUCCUCGCCGGCCAGCGUCCCGGACUCGCCUCUUUCACCCUCAACGCCCCGCGGUGAUUGGAGUCGUUUCUUGAGGAAACCUAAGCAGAUGGCAGAGGGAAUGGAGACUGCGGAGCCCAGAAGCCCCACCGUAUACGAUUGUUCUAUUGUUCACUACACCACAUGAAGAGCGGAGGGAGAUCGUACUGCUUCCAAUUGGUAGACAUAACACAUCUCAUAGAGAGCCGAGGAGAUUGUACUACUCUCCAAUUGGUAGGCACUUGACGUCGAGGGUGAUCAACAUUGCCAUGCCCGAUAGCCACUUGGAGUCGAAAGGGAUCCACAUCUCCAAGCACUACAUAAGGAGUCGACAAUGAUUAGCAUCUUCAGGCACUGCCUGAGGAAUCGAAAAUGAUUGACAUCUCCGUCUACUACAUUGGUGGUGAUUAGUUCACUAGACAGAUGAGGAUGAGACAGAGAGGAAGGGAACCGAAUAAAAACUUAAGUAGGUUUGGAGUGCUCCUAUGUGUGACACAGAGUCUGAUGUUUGUGCUGUAAAAUCUGUGUAUAUAUGGUGCAAAUUUUUUUUUUCUGGGUUUUUUGUAAUAACUAAGUGAAGGUGGGUAUUGUAUAGGAGGGUGAGAAGAAUGAGAAAUAUAUAGGACGAAGGAGAUUAAGUACAUCCUCGGGCCUUUGAGAGAUCGAUCUCUUUAUAAGGGUUAUGUGAGCUUGUAACAUAGGAUUGCCCUCUGUUUUAUCCAUCUGAGCAUGCUUUGUGUUUAAUGUGUUUAAUGUUUGUCACAAAAUAUUGCUUUG